rnacentral:rRNA from 1 species
AGAGUUUGAUCCUGGCUCAGAUUGAACGCUGGCGACAGGCCUAACACAUGCAAGUCGAACGGUAACAGGAAGAAGCUUGCUUCUUUGCUGACGAGUGGCGGACGGGUGAGUAAUGUCUGGGAAACUGCCUGAUGGAGGGGGAUAACUACUGGAAACGGUAGCUAAUACCGCAUAACGUCGCAAGACCAAAGAGGGGGACCUUCGGGCCUCUUGCCAUCGGAUGUGCCCAGAUGGGAUUAGCUAGUAGGUGGGGUAACGGCUCACCUAGGCGACGAUCCCUAGCUGGUCUGAGAGGAUGACCAGCCACACUGGAACUGAGACACGGUCCAGACUCCUACGGGAGGCAGCAGUGGGGAAUAUUGCACAAUGGGCGCAAGCCUGAUGCAGCCAUGCCGCGUGUAUGAAGAAGGCCUUCGGGUUGUAAAGUACUUUCAGCGGGGAGGAAGGGAGUAAAGUUAAUACCUUUGCUCAUUGACGUUACCCGCAGAAGAAGCACCGGCUAACUCCGUGCCAGCAGCCGCGGUAAUACGGAGGGUGCAAGCGUUAAUCGGAAUUACUGGGCGUAAAGCGCACGCAGGCGGUUUGUUAAGUCAGAUGUGAAAUCCCCGGGCUCAACCUGGGAACUGCAUCUGAUACUGGCAAGCUUGAGUCUCGUAGAGGGGGGUAGAAUUCCAGGUGUAGCGGUGAAAUGCGUAGAGAUCUGGAGGAAUACCGGUGGCGAAGGCGGCCCCCUGGACGAAGACUGACGCUCAGGUGCGAAAGCGUGGGGAGCAAACAGGAUUAGAUACCACUGGUAGUCCACGCCGUAAACGAUGUCGAC